AAGCGAGACAGUGAUGUGGAUCGGACCCCUUAAAGAAUGUCGUAGUCCGGAUUGGAGUCUGCAACUCGACUCCAUGAAGUCGGAAUCGCUAGUAAUCGCAGGUCAGAAUACUGCGGUGAAUACGUUCCCGGGCCUUGUACACACCGCCCGUCACACCAUGGGAGUGGGAUGCAAAAGAAGUAGUUAGUCUAACCUUCGGGAGGACGAUUACCACUUUGUGUUUCAUGACUGGGGUGAAGUCGUAACAAGGUAACCCUAGGGGAACCUGGGGUUGGAUCACCUCCUU
rnacentral:rRNA from 1 species